rnacentral:lncRNA from 1 species
GGGCUUGUUAGUUCCAUAACAAGUUGUAUUUAGAGAAUAACUUCUCGAGAGAAACGUUGUUUUUUAACAUUGAAUUCGACUUACCAUUUGCAGAUUACCAAACUAUAGUUCGUAGACUUUCGGGGUAUAAUAUUUCCGCUAUCCAUUUUCUUUGCGAUAUUCUAAUAAAGUGUGGUAUUUAUUUGUUAGACUAGAAUACUGUGAAGUUAUUUAAUAUGUGUACGCAUUGUUAAUAUUUAAUACAUCUUAAAGUAAAUACAAGUUGAUUUUUAUUUAACGAGUCUGUUAUUCUUACAAAAACCUAAACGGAACCAAACUAAGAUCUAUCAGAAUACCACAACGUACCACAAAACCUUUACAGAACCAACUGUGGAUCUACCGGAAUACCACAAAGUACCACGAUACCAGAGAACCACGCUACCAAAGAAGGGUCGCCAGUUAUAACUUUGGUUCAUAUAUACUAUUCUUAUAGCAACA